CACACACACACACAAACAUGCAUUUUCUGAUUUGUCAAUAUGUUCAGUUAUUUUGGAAUCGUUCUUGUUGUUAAAUGUGUGUAGGUUAGGCAGGCAAGGCAGUAGGGUUAAACGGGUUAACAGAGUGUGAUUUUUGUUCUCAUGCAGAAGACCAGCUAUGUUUUCCGUUGUCUGCUUUGACAAUUCCGAGGAGGUGGAGGUUGUGCCAACGCAAUGGUACAAUAAUGGGGCGUGCAGGUGGCCCCCCCACAAGGCUGAGGGAGUCAAUCGGGCCAUAAGGCAGCUGGAAGAGCCCCAGGAUAACUGGCCUCUAUUUGACAAUGCCAGGGUUUUUUUUUCUUCAGAUAACUAUCUGGAGUGUCGACAGAAGCUGCCACUGGCUCAAAACCAGACGGAUUUGGCAUCAGAGGUCGAAGACCCAACAACAUACCGGAGACCCAAAAGAAAAAUCAAGCCAAGUAGACACGUCCGAUCGGACUUUGAAAGUCAAGACCCCUGCAGUCCUCCAAAGAAACAGGCCUUCCCAAUCCUCCCUGAGGCCCCUGCUAUCGCUGGACCGUCCAACUUCAGGCGCUUCAUACUAGCGCAGCCCACUCAAAGUGGGUGUUAUGAGGUCCCUGUGAACAAUGAGCAGCCUCAGGGUUUUCAGCUCUUCUGCGUGACCUGUUGGUUAACCAACAAAUACUGAUGGACCAGCAAAAGACCAUGAUUCGGAUGAUCCAAGACCUCUACAGAAACAGCCAGGGAGGUCAGAGGAUGUCCACCACCUCCAGGCAUACUGCCUAUUUUCCACUAGUGGAUAAACAGGCUCUGGAGGUCCUGGAGGGCGACCUGGCAAGCCAGCGGGAACUUCGUCAAGAAUUGGUUAUCACUCUUGGAUUGGCAGGGGGAGCUGAUGCCAAAGAUACUGUGUGGCGCAUUUUGAAACAGGCCAUCAAAAAUGACCUCGCCAAGAACAUCUCAUGGCGGGGGAUGAAUGGAAAGAUUUCAUUUGAAAAUCUACACCUGAAGGCAGUAGUGAUGGAUGCAGUGAGGCACAAUCCAUCCUGCUCAACCGCAACAGAUGUGCAGAUUGGGGAUGCCAUUAAGAGAUGGUUUUACUGGGCUGGGG